GGUCCCCUACGGGAGGCAGCAGUGGGGGAUAUUGCACAAUGGGGGAAACCCUGAACCAGCAACGCCGCGUGAGGGAAGACGGUUUUCGGAUUGUAAACCUCUGUCCUCCGUGAAGAUGAUGACGGUAGCAGAGGAGGAAGCUCCGGCUAACUACGUGCCAGCAGCCGCGGUAAUACGUAGGGAGCGAGCGUUGUCCGGAUUUACUGGGUGUAAAGGGAGCGUAGGCGGGGAUGCAAGUUGGGUGUUAAAUCUACCGGCUCAACUGGUAUUCGCACUCAAAACUGCAGCUCUUGAGUGCAGUAGAG
rnacentral:rRNA from 1 species